CGUUGGAUCAAAUCCCACAAAACAUGCAAGAGAAUCAACAAAAUAUAAUUUACAGAAGUAUUUAACAUUUGUAGUAACUCCCAAAUCAUAGGUUACUUCUGAUUCAAUUGUUUGAUUCCCUUGUGCUGGGACAUGAACUGUAGCAACCUAACAAUUGAGUUGAAGAGCAGGUUGAACCUUGUCAAAAACAUUUUUUAUGUGAACUGUUGGUAAACUAACAACAAAAGAUGUUUUGUAGAAAAAUAAAAGAAAAGAGAAAAGAAGAACAAUGUUGAGAGACCUUGAUUUUUCC
rnacentral:lncRNA from 1 species